rnacentral:rRNA from 1 species
GAUGAACGCUGGCGGCGUGCCUAAUACAUGCAAGUCGAGCGAACGGACGAGAAGCUUGCUUCUCUGAUGUUAGCGGCGGACGGGUGAGUAACACGUGGAUAACCUACCUAUAAGACUGGGAUAACUUCGGGAAACCGGAGCUAAUACCGGAUAAUAUUUUGAACCGCAUGGUUCAAAAGUGAAAGACGGUCUUGCUGUCACUUAUAGAUGGAUCCGCGCUGCAUUAGCUAGUUGGUAAGGUAACGGCUUACCAAGGCAACGAUGCAUAGCCGACCUGAGAGGAGGAUAGGCACCACGGGAACGGAGACACGGUCCAGACUCCUAAGGGAGGCCGCAGUGGGGAAGAUUCAGAAAUGGGCGAAAGCCUGACGGAGCAAGCCCGCGGGAGGAAGGAAGGUCUUCGGAUCGAAAAACUCUGUUAUGGGGAAAGAAAAGAUGUAUAAGAAAAUCUCCCCGUCCUGACGGUACCAAAAAAAAAAGCAACGGCUAACUUCGGC